GGUUCAAGUGCUCUUUUCUUGACUUCCUGCAUGACUUUGGGCUCCAGGGUGUGGCCAUCGCCUAUCCUGUGUCACCAUUAUCACAGAGCUAAGGCACUAGCAGCUCACCCAAAAAAGCCUUGGGUACUGGACUGGGAUUUGAGAUAAUCUGGCUUCUACUGUACUGCCACUGAGCUACUUUGUGACUUGUGUGCCUGUGACAGUUGGAUCCCAGUCGUGGUUAGUUACUUCGUGUGCUACAUGGUACAAAUAACGAAUAUGUAGCUGGACUGCUCAGCACAAGGCGCGUUGGUACUGAUGAUGAGAAGAGGAGAAUUAGUUCUUGUUCAGAUUCUUCCAAAGAUCUCAAGCCUCUCAAAGGUGGGGCAUUAGUGAUGCCAUUUGAAGACGGGGCAAACGUGGUGCAGAUGUGCAGGAUGAACUGUCCAGAAAUCCCUGACUAGGGGGCCAUGAGGAAAUUUGGAAUUUCCACUUAGUAUUUAUUUUACUACACAAGGCAUGGAGCUUCUUACUGUCAAGGGCACUUUCCAUUCACUUUACAAAUUAUUCUGAGCUUUGACAAGUUCUUUAAAUUUGGUGUCCCCAUUCCCCCUGCAUGCCAAGGCAUGACGAAAAUAGCUUGCUGGAUAUUUCAAAAGCUGGCAGUCCAGUACCUCUUUCUCAACUAAAAUACACUUUAGGUUUAGAGAGAUCUCUCCCCAUGAGAACAGAAUCUAAUAUGGUGAUGUGGAAAGCAUGUAAAAUGAUGUCCAGGAGUUAUUUUUCUGUAAAUCAGCAUACCAGGAGGUUUUGCUUCUUAUCAGGAGCUUUGAGAGCAUUUUAAGAGUGGGAAACAUGGAUUUGAAAGAACUAUCCUAUGAACCUGACCAGUGAAGGUCAGGCAAAAAUACAAUAUGCUUUGGCCCAAUUGUAUAGUGCAAUUUUAUGUAUAUUGAAUUAUCUAUAUUGAAAUAUGUAUUUGCAGGAGUUGGUGAAAGACACUUGCUCGUGUGCACACAAAUCUAUAGAGAGGUUACUUACUAUAUAUAAUGAUGUGUGUAUUUACACACACGCGCAUGUGCAUAC